rnacentral:rRNA from 1 species
CAUUCUAAGCGGUGGAUCACUCGGCUCGU